rnacentral:rRNA from 1 species
GAUCCUGGCUCAGAAUCAACGCUGGCGGCGUGCCUAAUACAUGCAAGUCGAACGCGAAAGUCCCGCAAGGGAUCGGUAGCGUGGCAAACGGGUGAGUAACACGUGGGUGACCUGCCUUCGAGUGGGGGAUAACGUCCCGAAAGGGACGCUAAUACCGCAUGACAUCCUGCCCUUGAACGGGUGGAGAUCAAAGCUGGGGAUCGCAAGACCCGGCGCUUGAAGAGGGGCCCGCGUCCGAUUAGCUAGUUGGUGGGGUAAUGGCCUACCAAGGCGACGAUCGGUAGCCGGCCUGAGAGGGCGGUCGGCCACACUGACACUGGACACACGGGUCAGACUCCUACGGGAGGCAGCAGAUCU